AACGAACGCUGGCGGCAUGCCUAACACAUGCAAGUCGAACGAGACCUUCGGGUCUAGUGGCGCACGGGUGCGUAACGCGUGGGAACCUGCCCUUAGGUUCGGAAUAACUCCCCGAAAGGGGUGCUAAUACAGGAUAAUGUCUUCGGACCAAAGAUUUAUCGCCUUUGGAUGGGCCCGCGUUGGAUUAGCUAGUUGGUAGGGUAAAAGCCUACCAAGGCGACGAUCCAUAGCUGGUCUGAGAGGAUGAUCAGCCACACUGGGACUGAGACACGGCCCAGACUCCUACGGGAGGCAGCAGUGGGGAAUAGUGGACAAUGGGCGAGAGCCUGAUCCAGCAAUGCCGCGUGAGUGAUGAAGGCCUUAGGGUUGUAAAGCUCUUUUACCCGGGAUGAUAAUGACAGUACCGGGAGAAUAAGCUCCGGCUAACUCCGUG
rnacentral:rRNA from 1 species